rnacentral:rRNA from 1 species
AGUGAACGCUGGCGGUAGGCCUAACACAUGCAAGUCGAACGGCAGCACAGGAGAGCUUGCUCUCUGGGUGGCGAGUGGCGGACGGGUGAGGAAUACAUCGGAAUCUGCCCAGUCGUGGGGGAUAACGUAGGGAAACUUACGCUAAUACCGCAUACGACCUUCGGGUGAAAGAGGGGGAUCGCAAGACCUCUCGCGAUUGGAUGAGCCGAUGUCGGAUUAGCUAGUUGGCGGGGUAAUGGCCCACCAAGGCGACGAUCCGUAGCUGGUCUGAGAGGAUGAUCAGCCACACUGGAACUGAGGCACGGUCCAGACUCCUACGGGAGGCAGCAGUGGGGAAUAUUGGACAAUGGGCGCAAGCCUGAUCCAGCCAUACCGCGUGGGUGAAGAAGGCCUUCGGGUUGUAAAGCCCUUUUGUUGGGAAAGAAAUCUUUCAGGCUAAUACCCUGGGAGGAUGACGGUACCCAAAGAAUAAGCACCGGCUAACUUCGUG